rnacentral:rRNA from 1 species
GAUGAACGCUGGCGGCGUGCCUAAUACAUGCAAGUCGAGCGAACGGACGAGAAGCUUGCUUCCCUGAUGUUAGCGGCGGACGGGUGAGUAACACGUGGAUAACCUACCUAUAAGACUGGGAUAACUUCGGGAAACCGGAGCUAAUACCGGAUGAUAUUUUGAACCGCAUGGUUCAAAAGUGAAAGACGGUCUUGCUGUCACUUAUAGAUGGAUCCGCGCUGCAUUAGCUAGUUGGUAAGGUAACGGCUUACCAAGGCAACGAUGCGUAGCCGACCUGAGAGGGUGAUCGGCCACACUGGAACUGAGACACGGUCCAGACUCCUACGGGAGGCAGCAGUAGGGAAUCUUCCGCAAUGGGCGAAAGCCUGACGGAGCAACGCCGCGUGAGUGAUGAAGGUCUUCGGAUCGUAAAACUCUGUUAUUAGGGAAGAACAUAUGUGUAAGUAACUGUGCACAUCUUGACGGUACCUAAUCAGAAAGCCACGGCUAACUACGUG